AUUGAACGCUGGCGGCAGGCCUAACACAUGCAAGUCGAACGAGUGGCGGACGGGGGAGUAAUGUCUGGGAAACUGCCUGAUGGAGGGGGAUAACUACUGGAAAUGGUAGCUAAUACCGCAUACCACCGGAUGCGCCCAGAUGGGAGUAGCUAGUAGGUGGGGUAAAGGCUCACCUGGGCGACGAUCGCUAGCGGGUCUGAGAGGAUGACAGGCCACGUGGGAGCGGGUACUCGGUCCAUGGUCCGACGGGAGGACGCAGGGGGGAAUAUGGCACAGUGGGGGCAAACCGUAUGCAACCAUGCCGCGUGUGUGAAGGAGGCCUUCGGGUUGGAAAGUACUUUCAGCGGGGAGGCGUUACCCGCAGAAGAAGCUCCGGCUAACUCCGUGCCAGCAGCCGCGGUAAUUC
rnacentral:rRNA from 1 species